UACGGAGGGUGCAAGCGUUGUCCGGAUUUAUUGGGUUUAAAGGGUGCGCAGGUGGCCCGGUCAGUCAGUGGUGAAAUGCGGCCGCUCAACGGUCGAACUGCCAUUGAUACUGCCGGGCUUGAGGGGAGUGGAGGCCGCCGGAACGGACGGUGUAGCGGUGAAAUGCGUAGAUAUCGGCCAGAACGCCGAUUGCGAAGGCAGGUUGCUAGGCUACAACUGACACUGAGGCACGAAAGCGUGGGGAGCGAACAGG
rnacentral:rRNA from 1 species